GUGAAAUUGAUCACAAACAAACAUUUACCCCUUUGUUUGACCGUGAAAAAUUUCUCCCAUCCCCUUUGUUGUCGUUAAGACAUAAUAGAAACCGCGCUUAUCCCGGCGCGGUUUCUUA
rfam:Bacillus glycinifermentans strain GO-13 contig_29, whole genome shotgun sequence.